UACGAAGGGGGCGAGCGUUGUUCGGAAUUACUGGGCGUAAAGGGCGCGUAGGCGGCCGAUCAAGUCAGAUGUGAAAGUCCUGGGCUUAACCUGGGGACUGCAUUUGAUACUGAUUGGCUUGAAUGCAGGAGAGGAUAGCGGAAUUCCCAGUGUAGAGGUGAAAUUCGUAGAUAUUGGGAAGAACACCGGUGGCGAAGGCGGCUAUCUGGACUGUGAUUGACGCUGGAGGCGACGAAAGCGUGGGGAGCAAACAGG
rnacentral:rRNA from 1 species